AUUGAACGCUGGCGGCAGGCUUAACACAUGCAAGUCGAGCGGAGAUGAGGUGCUUGCACCUUAUCUUAGCGGCGGACGGGUGAGUAAUGCUUAGGAAUCUGCCUAUUAGUGGGGGACAACAUUCCGAAAGGAAUGCUAAUACCGCAUACGUCCUACGGGAGAAAGCAGGGGACCUUCGGGCCUUGCGCUAAUAGAUGAGCCUAAGUCGGAUGAGCUAGUUGGUGGGGUAAAGGCCUACCAAGGCGACGAUCUGUAGCGGGUCUGAGAGGAUGAUCCGCCACACUGGGACUGAGACACGGCCCAGACUCCUACGGGAGGCAGCAGUGGGGAAUAUUGGACAACGGGCGGAAGCCUGAUCCAGCCAUGCCGCGUGUGUGAAGAAGGCCUUUAGGUUGUAAAGCACUUUAAGCGAGGAGGAGGCUACUUAGAUUAAUACUCUAGGAUAGUGGACGUUACUCGCAGAAUAAACACCGGCUAACUCUGUGCCAGCCGCCGCCGUAACAC
rnacentral:rRNA from 1 species